AUUGAACGCUGGCGGCAGGCCUAACACAUGCAAGUCGAACGGUAACAGGGAUCAGCUUGCUGAUUCGCUGACGAGUGGCGGACGGGUGAGUAAUGUCUGGGAAACUGCCUGAUGGAGGGGGAUAACUACUGGAAACGGUAGCUAAUACCGCAUAACGUCGCAAGACCAAAGAGGGGGACCUUCGGGCCUCUUGCCAUCGGAUGUGCCCAGAUGGGAUUAGCUAGUAGGUAGGGUAACGGCUCACCUAGGCGACGAUCCCUAGCUGGUCUGAGAGGAUGACCAGCCACACUGGAACUGAGACACGGUCCAGACUCCUACGGGAGGCAGCAGUGGGGAAUAUUGCACAAUGGGCGCAAGCCUGAUGCAGCCAUGCCGCGUGUAUGAAGAAGGCCUUCGGGUUGUAAAGUACUUUCAGCGGGGAGGAAGGGAGUAAAGUUAAUACCUUUGCUCAUUGACGUUACCCGCAGAAGAAGCACCGGCUAACUCCGUG
rnacentral:rRNA from 1 species